AAAUACCUAGAGAAUCUUUCUAUGCUAAAACUCACAAAAUUUGAAGGAACCCAUGGACCAAGUGGUGGAGGAAGACAAGAAGUUGAAAAAGUGAAGAAAGAGUUUGAAGAAACAUACAAACUAACCCAACAACACAUCAAAUACAUAGAUGAAUAUGGAAAAUCAAGAACAACAAUUGCAGAAGAGAAAAAAUCACUCUCAAGAUUGAAUGAAUUUGCUUCCUUUUGAUGACAAGCUGAAAAAAUUCAGCCUUUCGCACAAUCUUGGAAAUCUCAAAUCCAUAAGACUGGUGAUCUUAAGGGCCAAGUCCGUGCUCAUAGCUUGAAGGAGGGAAUGGGAUAUGCCUCAUUACUAAAUUUCCUUGUCUCUGGCGAAGGAUGGAUUCUGUUGUAAGUUAUGUUUGGUUUUGAUUUAUCUGUGACUAACAUUUGAUACUCUUGUAUGAAUUCAUUUUAUUUCUAGCUAGGAGGAUUAA